AAAAAAAUUUUUAAAUAAAAAUAUUUAAUGGGGGUUAAAGUAUUUUUAUAGAAAAAAUUAAAUAAUUUAAAGUAAAUUAGUAUUGUGAAAGAAUUUUGAAAUAAUUGAAAUAAAAAAUUAUAAUAAAGUAAUUUUAAUUUAAUGUAUCUUGUGUAUCAGAGUUUAUUAAAAAAUAUUUAUAAAAAAAAAAUUCUCGAAUUUAAAAGAGAUAAUUAAUUAUUAAAGUUAUUGUAGCAUAAAUAUUUUAAAUAAUUAAUUGGAAAUGAAAUGUUAAUCGUUUUUAAAUAUAUCUAGUUUUUUUAGAAAAAAAUUUAAUUUUAAUUAAUUUAAAAAAGUAAUUAAUUAAUUAAUUACUUUUUAAAAUUAAUAUUAUAUUUUAGGGGAUAAGCUCUAAUUUAAAUUUUAUAUAAAUAUUUUAUAAUUUAAUUUGAAAUUUUUAUGAUUUAUAUUGUUAAAAAAUUUUAAUUUAUUAUAAAUAAUUUCAUUUAAAAUAAAAUUUAAUAUUAUUUUAUAUUUUUAUAAAAAAAAAUUUUUUAAUUAAAAAAUAAUUAUUAUAAUGAUAAAAUUAGUAUAUAAAAUUAAAAUUAAAAAUUAAUUUUUUUUAUGUAAAUAAUUAAAAGGAAUUCGGCAAAAGUUUAUAUUCACUUGUUUAUCAAAAACAUGUCUUUUUGAAAAUAAUAUAAAGUCUAAUCUGCCCACUGAUUUUUAAAGAUUGAAGGGCUGCAGUAUUUUGACUGUACAAAGGUAGCAUAAUCAUUAGUCAUUUAAUUGAUGACUUGUAUGAAAGAUUGGAUGAAAUAUAAUCUGUCUCUUAAUUAAAUAUAGAAUUUAAUUUUUUAAUUAAAAAGUUAAAAUAAAUUAAAAAGACGAGAAGACCCUAUAGAGUUUUAUAAAUAAAUUAAUUAAGAUUAUUUAUAAAAAAAAAUUAAAAUUAAUUUAUUUAUUUUGUUGGGGUGACAAAAAAAUAAAUAAAACUUUUUUUAUAUUAAAACCAUAUAUAAGUGAUUAAAUGAUCCAUUAAUAAUGAUUAAAAGAAAAAAUUACCUUAGGGAUAACAGCGUAAUUUUUUUUUUUAGUUCAUAUAAAAAAAAGAGUUUGCGACCUCGAUGUUGGAUUAAGAUAAAAUUUAAAUGCAGAAGUUUAAAAUUUUUGAUCUGUUCGAUCAUUAAAAUCUUACAUGAUCUGAGUUCAAACCGGUGUAAGCCAGGUUGGUUUCUAUCUUUUAAAAAUUAAAAUAUUUUAGUACGAAAGGAUUAAAUAUUUAAAUUAAAUUUAUUUUGAUGAAUUUUAUUAAAUUAUU
rnacentral:rRNA from 1 species